rnacentral:rRNA from 1 species
CGAACGCUGGCGGCGUGCCUCAUACAUGCAAGUCGAACGAGAGCGACCGGUGCUUGCACUGGUCAAUCUAGUGGCGAACGGGUGAGUAACACGUGGGUAACCUGCCCAUCAGAGGGGGAUAACAUUCGGAAACGGAUGCUAAAACCGCAUAGGUCUUCGAACCGCAUGGUUUGAAGAGGAAAAGAGGCGCAAGCUUCUGCUGAUGGAUGGACCCGCGGUGCAUUAGCUAGUUGGUGAGGUAACGGCUCACCAAGGCCGUGAUGCAUAGCCGACCUGAGAGGGUGAUCGGCCACAUUGGGACUGAGACACGGCCCAAACUCCUACGGGAGGCAGCAGUAGGGAAUCUUCCGCAAUGGACGCAAGUCUGACGGAGCAACGCCGCGUGAGUGAAGAAGGUGUUCGGAUCGUAAAACUCUGUUGUUAGAGAAGAACAAGUGCUAGAGUAACUGUUAGCGCCUUGACGGUAUCUAACCAGAAAGCCACGGCUAACUACGUG